AGGGUGCUUAACACCUUCCUCUCGAGUAACCAAAAUCCUUACUCAGAAUCUCACUGGUUUCGCAAAGCAAAACCAGAGUUUACAUUUAGUUAAAAAAUGUUUUUCCUAAUAUUUUUCUUAAAAUUUAGGUGGCGACUCUAAAAUAAAACAUAAUUUUCAAAAUUAAAGUGUCAGUCAUAUUAUGUUGUGAACUAUUUCGGCUUAUUCGAAAAUAGGGUGCGACAACAAGUAAGAAAUAAGAAGAAUUCGCAGUAUAUAAUAUCAAUAUGAGAUGAAACUAGGGCAUAUGUGCUCCCCACAAGUUCUUAACGUUGUAAUCCUAAUAAUAAUAACUUUUUCCUAGUGUUAAUCUGCAAAGUCAGUAAGUUAUGUAUCUCCUAAGUAAUUGAUCGUCCAAAUAGGAAAUUUCACCACACAACUUGGUUGGUCUAUGGGUGUGUAAUUUACUAAUCCUUACCCUUGACCUCAAAUUAUCCCUCACGUAUUUGGGUCAGGCUAUUAGAUAGAGACUAAAUCACUGUUGUUUAACCUCUUUCUCACUCAUUAAUUCCUUGGUCGAACAAAUAGGAAUAGGGCGAAUUCUAACGCUGGGCACCAUUAAAUAACAUCCAAAACAAAGAGAAAAACAAUACUUGUAUAAGCACUAUCCCAAAAUGAAUUAAUUAUUAGUUUUGCAUUAUUAAUUACUCAUGGUUCCUACAAACCUAGUUGUAGAUUUAGCUAUUCAUGCUUGAGGAUUCACAAUUCGUAUUAGGGUUAAUAGCACAAAUCAUGAACUUACAAUGGGAAUAGAGAAAUCUUGAAUUUUAAGAACAAAUGCUAAUUUCAUAAAUCGAUCUUUAAGAAUUAAGCUAAAAAUGUUUGCAAAAUAAUUCUCAAAUUCAAAACAUUUUAUCGUAUAAGGUUUACCAACCCAAAAAACAAAAAUUACAUGUAAUAUUUAUAGAAAACAAAUCAUAAAUCGAGUAGGAAAAGGAAGACUAAGAAAAUUCGAUUUGGACAUUGUCGUCUACGGUUGGAGACCAAUGGCUUGUAAGUGUUUUCAUUCAAUAGUUAGUCUCUCGUGUGGAUGAUAAUUUCUACGGGCAUGAUUACGACCUAUAUUGUUCAACUUUCAUUCAAUUAGUGGAGUUGAUUUAUGAACUUUUUCUAAACCGAGCAGGAAAAAGAAGAUUAAAGAAAUUCACUUUGGACAGUGUCAUCUACGGUUGGAGACCUACGACUUGUUCAAGUACUCAAGAUACAAAUCACGCUUAGAUCGAUUCUCGGUCCACAUUUCAGCAGCUUCAAUGGUGAGUCCUCAUACUUUGAGGACAAUAGACAUGCUUUUUCAUUUUAGUCUUUUUAUUCAGUUUUUAGUUUGUAGAAUUAGCUGGGGGGCAUGUCCCAGUAACUCAACUCAAUUAGAGGUUUUUCAGACAUAGUUAUACAAUUAGCUUGAAUUGUUAA